AGCAACAGGAAAGGGUGCGGGAAGGAGUGUGGAACUGAAAUCUGCAGCUUGUUGUGAACGAAAUGACUGUGGAAGACCCACCCCUCACUGUAGCAGACCGUCUGUGACACAUAAGCGGCCAAGAUGCACUAAGGCAGACAUGUUUCGUGAGGUGAUUCUGCACUCUGAAGCGGAGACACAUGAUAAAAAUAAAUGGAGAGAAACCAUGACAAACUGGAAAGAGGGAGAGAACCGAGACCAAAAAGAGAAUAAUGCAUUCCAUAGGGAAGCCACGGGGAGGCUAAUCAGCGUUCUGGAGCAUCAGACAGAUAGGUUGCAUUCUCUCAUUACACUGCCGAGUGACCUGAUUCGUGCCCGCCCCCCAUUGCAGCAAGUGCAGAAUUCUUUCCCAUGCACUCCCCAAACUCCCACUGCACAUUCUUAUAGGCUCACUGCAAAUUUUUCCAUGCCUCAACAAUCCACACCCCCAGACAGCUUGUCAAACAACAGCUGGCGUUACACACAGCUGUGAGGUAUACGGGCCCCCCACCCUGAACACCACCAUCACUGAGGAUGGAUAUAUGUGCAUAUGGUGUUUUCUCUCUUUUUUUUUUUUAAAUAAAAAGCACACAUUUUUCAAAAA